AAGUGUAAGUGAAAGCAACACGCACUGGCAGGAAGAACAGCAAACGCCGAUGAAGGAAAAGGGUCUUUGCAGUGAUGGGCGUUACCAGAGAGGGCGAUGGCCAGAGGACACAAAUGGGACGGGGAGGCAGCAUGUUGGGGGGUGGGGGGGUGGGGGGGGGGGGGGGACGCGACACGGCUCGGGCCCGCCAGUGCCCCAACGGGGUCCUAGUUUCUUCUUUUUCCUCCCCUUUGAACUGGAAAAUGGCCCACUUCCCACUGGCGAAAACUCAUGAAAUUUGGCAGGACGACCGGGCCUGGUGAAAAAUUUGAUAUUCUGAAGUCGCCCAAACAAUAAAAUGCAAAAUGGCUCCAUAGCGCCCCCUAAGAUGAAAAUUCAAACUAUUGACUGUCUCGGCUGUACGCUUUGUCAUAUUGACACAAAAAUUGACACACAUAUGUAUCUCAAUAAGAUCUACAAAAAAGUCAGUGCGGGCGUAUCUGUCAAAUUUACGGUUAACGGGUUAUUUCGCAUUUUUUGCCGAUCCACACACAUCGGAAUUUCGCUAACUCCUCUGAAGACUUUCCUUCCAUCGGCACAACAUUUGCUCAGGUCAAUCUACACCCCAUGGCCAUUAAAAGUUAUUCAAAUCAUGACGCUGCACCCCACGGUUUAGGUUCUAGGGGGCGCCAAAGAUAACCCUAAAAUCCACAUAUUUAAAAGUCUUAUAACUUUUUAUUUUUUUCCUCACUGGCCUCCAAGUUUACUAGGAUGAUGCAAUGUCCAGCCAUCAACACAUUUGUGAAGGAAUUUUGACUCCCCAAAAGAGCGCCCCCCCAUGGCAGGAGAAAAAAGUCCAUUUUUUCUUGUCCCCUAAGGUGAAAAUUCACACUAUUGACUGUCACGCCUGUACGCUUUGUCAUAUUGACACAAAAAUUGACACACAUGUGUAUCUCAAUAAGAUCUACGAAAAAGUCAUACGCGCGUAUCUGUCAAAUGUACGGUUAAAGGGUCAUUUCGCAUUUUUUGCCGAUCCGCACACAUUGGAAUUUCGCUAACUCCUCCGAAGGCUUUCGUUCCACCGGCACCACAUUUGCUCAGGCCAAUCUACACCCCAUGGCCAUUAAAAGUUAUUCAAAUCAUGAUGCUGCACCCCACGGUUUAGGUUCUAGGGGGCGCCAAAUAUAACCCUAAAAUCCACAUAUUUAAAAGUCUUAUAACUUUUUAUUUUUGUCCUCACUGGCCUCCAAGUUCUCUAGGAUGAUGCAAUGUCCAGCCAUCAACACAUUUGUGAAGGAAUUUUUACUCCCCAAAAGAGCGCCCCCCCAUGGCAGGAGAAAAAAGUCCAUUUUUUCUUGUCCCCUAAUUUGAAAAUACACAUUGUUGAGUGUCACGCCUGUACGCUUUGUCAUAUUGACACAAAAUUUGACACACACAUGUAUCUCAAUAAGAUCUACGAAAAAGUCAAUGCGCGCGUAUCUGUCAAAUGUACGGUUAAAGGGUUAUUCCGCAUUUUUUCUGAUCCGCACACAUUGGAAUUUCGCUAACUCCUCCUAAGGCUUUCGUUCCACCGGCACCACAUUUGCUCAGGCCAAUCUACACCCCAUGGCCAUUAAAAGUUAUUCAAAUCAUGACGCUGCACCCCACGGUUUAGGUUCUAGGGGGCGCCAAAGAUAACCCUAAAAUCCACAUAUUUCAAAGUCUUAUAACUUUUUAUUUUUGCCCUCACUGGCCUCCAAGUUUUCUAGGAUGAUGCAAUGUCCAGCCAUCAACGCAUUUGUGAAGGAAUUUUUACUCCCCAAAAGAGCGCCCCCCCCCCCAUGGCAGGAGAAAAAAGUCAAUUUUUUCUUGUCCCGAAAGGUGAAAAUUCACAUUGUUGAGUGUGACACCUGUACGCUUUGUCAUAUUGACACAAAAUUUGACAAUCACGUGUAUCUCAAUAAGAUCUACGAAAAAGUCAAUGGGUGCGUAUCUGUCAAAUAUACGGUUAGAGGGCUAUUUUGCAUUUUUUGCCGAUUCGCACACAUUGGAAUGUGGCUAACUCCUCCUAAGGCUUUCGUCCCACUGAAACCAAAUUUGCUCAGGCCGAUCUACACCCCAUGGCCAUUAAAAGUUAUUCAAAUCAUGAUGCUGCACCCCACGGUUUACGUUCUAGGGGGCGCCAAAGAUGACCAAAAAAUCCACAUUCUUAAAAGAAUCCACAUUCUCCCCCCCCAUGGCACGAGAAAAAGUCAAGUUUUUCCUGCCCAUCGCUCAAUGGCU